UUGUUGCCUUGAUAUCAGGCGAAGUCCCACUGCGAAGACCCCGCGCCCGGCCAGCUGCUUUUCCCGUCACUCCUCUGAAUGCCAGAGACAAAGAAACAGGCUGAGAAGAGUCAAAGCCUUCGAUCUGGGAAUGAUUUCUUCCCUUCAAAUGUCUGCACAGGCAGCAAACAGGCCUUGUGCUCCAGAACUGGGGCACAGGUAUACGUCUUUUCUGUGAUUUUUCUUUUUUUUUUACUUUUCUUGCUAGAAAGUCUCAUCACUGCUGAGUGCAAGGAGGUGAUGGAAAGAACAGGGCGAAUGGGAAGGUCUGGGCAGCAGUGGUGGGGUGUUGCUCUUCAUAGCAGCCCUUGCCCUGAACCCAACCCAUGCUCAAAAUCUGAAAUCAUCCAUCGUGAGAUCAGGAAAAAAAUCAUCCCAAGCAGUUUAUUUGCUGAGGAACUGUCCUGAUGUACAGCUGGGGGUACUUGCUUUGCACCGGUGCAGGAUCUCACUUGUUAUUUCAGUGUCAGUGCAGGAGUGAAGUGGAAGUGUGAGAGUGAUGGAUGCUCAGGGACAGGGGAGCCUGACAGGCUGCAAACUCUGUGCAGACUCGGAGAAUUGCUGGCUAACGGCUUUCAAGGCUGCAAAUGAGCUUCCCAAAUUAUUAGAGCUAGAGAACAGGAUACCUUUAAAACAACCAAUCUGUCACGAGACAUAUCCUGUAUCUGUCAGAGGCCAGCAUGACUCCGUUGGGGGAAUCCGUGACAAAAAUCUAGGGAGAGCUGUAAAAAAAUGCAUGUUGAUGUGGUUGUUUUGACAUGACAUUUCUUUUUAGGCAGCCUUAAGUGAUAUCUGCUGCCACUGGAGAUAGCACAUGCCAUCUCUGCUAACCAGCAUCUCCACGAUGGCUCUCACUGCUGCUGAGAAAGCAGGAUUGUCCCGCGGUCUUGCAGAAGGAGAGAAGACGUGUCCAAGGUGCGGACGCUGUCAGUGCAGUGCUCGGUGGCAGACCUCAGACAGCCCAGACCCCCAGGAACAUGGCUGGGUUGCCUCAUCUCUGUGUACUCCAGUUCCUCGCCUGUGGAAGAGGGAUUAUAGCAGCGCUGACCGUUCCCGGACACCUGUGAGUACAGGGCACCUGCUCCCCCACCCUCACACCUGGAGACCUUCUGCCUUCACCUCUUUGAAUGAUCAGCUGCGCUCACUCAUCGCCUCUGGGACCUGGCCCUGCUCCUCCAGACCCGUUCAUCACGCCAUGCCAGAUGGGUCCCUCCUGCCUUUUGAGCAGACGAGAGCACCAUAUGAUUUCACGGCCGUGCCGGCACGGCGUGCACCUGCCUGGAAAGUGCUCGAGCACUUCUGGUGCCGGGUGCGUGGUGAGUACUGGGGCAAGAUCAGAGACGCGAAGGGAAACGUGCUGAAGCACAGCCCUGGGAUGUGGAGGGAGGAAGAAAACAGGAUGGCAGCAGCACCACUGGAUUUCCAAGCCUGGAAAUAAUUUUGAAAAAAUUUGAUUUAUUUUUUUUAAAUAGGAGCAUUUCAUCUUUUUUAUCAUGUCCACAUCAACUUUUAUCAUGAGUGAAAACCCAGCUCUUUUUUGUGUUUGUUUUGUGGCUUUAUGAAGACAUAACUCUGUGGAUCUUGGUUCCUGCACGUCCUCAUGGCAGUCCUAGAGAUAUCGGUGUGCUCCAGUGAUACCAGGUAUUUGCUCUCCAGCUCCGGUGCUUUACCAGCCCACCAGAACAAAUCCCAGUUGCCUACCUGCCAGUCCAAAGUCCCCGAGUUCAGAGAAGUGAGGACACACCAGAUGGCCUGGCAUGGCCCAGUGAUGGGAGCCAGGCUGGGGAGAGCAGGGUGAAGGCUGGAUAAAGCUCAUGGAGAUGGCUGGUGUGCUACCUUGAACUUAUUGGGCUUUUUCUUAUUGCUAACAUCUGUGGUAGGGCAAGAGGUGUGCGAGGAUCUACCUGUCCGUGGGCUGCAGAGUGGAGGUGACCCUUCCACGGGCCAGCACCGAGCAGCUCGGAGAGAGCGGGGCUGUGCGACUGCUGAAAUGGCCUGGCAGGAGGUCUUUAAAUUGCUCGAUGGCUCUGUACUGAAAAGCAAUACCUGCUGAGAUUAAACUGUUUGGCCUCCUUCCCCCUGUCUCCAAGGCAAACAUAGACAGUUCUAUUCAUACCCACAAGAAAUACAUAUUUCAGCAUUUGAUUCUUUUUGUGUGUGCUUUGUUUUAUCUAGCGCCAUGGAGCUUGGAUGUCUUUUUCAUCUCAUAUUGUGCUUUGGAUGCAGCCUCUUUUAUUCAGCCCUCUUGCUGCCUUCAUAAAGAAUAACAGCGGCAGUUGUUGUUUUUUCCCCUGGAGCAUGGGCUGCUGUAAACCAAAGGGAAACUUCUUGCUGAAAGAGGGAGAGAGCAGGCAGGACACUGCCGUAUCCAUUUCCACACCAGAGCUGCAGCCCUGCAGGCCAUGCCGUUUGGCUUUCUCAAGCCUUCAUGGAGAGCAACAAAUUGUCCUAUAAAAAUUCUUUUCUUGAAUUUUAUUUUUCUAAGGAGACGGGGCCAACUUGUAAACUUGGGACUAAAAUCUCCUGCUUCUUAAAUGGACAGCAAAGUCCAAGAUAGAAGCCGUGGCACUGAAAUAUAACGGGGUCUACGGAUUCUGCCUCUCUCCCUCCCUAAAUUUGCAUCUGAAGCCUCCUUUUCCUGGCUGUGGAAAUCCAUUUUGUGGCCUUUGCUAAGCCCCAUCUCGUACAACCUCUCAGCAACUGUCAUAAAGCAGAAAACCUUGCAAGGACAUUUCUGCUUAUCUUCCAGUUGAAGAGGGACAAGAGCUGCUGGCCCAAGUGCCAGACUUGAAGGAUGUGGUCCAGCCUCACCUCCGUUUCCCCAUGAAGGUAAUUCGGGGUGAGGAUGGGAACUGCUGCCCCCAGCCUCCUCCUCUCCACACCCAGUUUGAAAGUCAUGCUGUACGUGUACCAGACAGCCAAAGGUGCAUGAGCCCUGUCCCGAGGUAUCAUCCAUCGUGCUGUCGGUGGCUGUGCUGCUCACAUCUGUGCUUCCCCCUGCUUAUGCCAUUAGCUCCGCAGCAUGGCCCAGGAACAAGUGCAGCCAGGGUUUCAGCUCCGCAGGUCACCAGCUGCUGAUAAAUCGCUUUCCUGGAGAUCAAUCGCUUCCCCUUUGCCAUGCAAAACGCCUGGGCUGCCUGCAUGGAACAGUUCUGCCAGACGCCGGGGAGAGGUCCCCAUCCGUGGUCAUACUUGAGACACUCUGAAAAACAGUAAGAAAAUAAGAGCCCCGCGUUCAAACCAAGACAGGGGAAAAGCUGGGGAGGGGGGACGACACCUGGGCACCCCCCUUUUCACUCCUUCUUCCUCUUCCUUUUUGCUCCAGCCUUGCUCUGUGCCUGGAGGUGGACAACAUCCAGGGCAAUGUGCGUUUGGGACUGUCUAAGAUGCAACAAAGAACCUCCCAUAGGUCUGAAUUAUACAGAUCCUCCCAUUUUAGUUAUUUCCACCCUAAUUAUAAAUAACAUGCUAAGCAGAAAUGUCUUCAUCCGGAAACCUUUAGGCACUGGUUCCCAAUCAUCCAGCUUGGAUUAUCUUCCAAACAGGGUGCUGCAAACCAUCCUUUCCCUGUUGGAUCUACUGCCGUGGUGGUUUCCAAUGACCAUGAGUGAUGCUGGAAGCAAGAACAUCUUGUGGCAAUAUGUUGCCCUUGAACCUUGAGCUGGGAAUCACGGGGUUUAAGGCAUUUGAAAUCUGUGUCUGAAAUUUGUGACUCGUGUCAUGCUCUGACCUGAGAGAAGGGAUGCUUUGAACUGAGGUUGCUCUAUGAGUUAAGCAGAGCAGCCCUCCCGGGACCCACGGUGUCUGGGAGGCAGUGGCCAGCAAUACCCUUCCCAGCUCUAUGAUCUGGUCCUUCACACCCAGGUAAAUACCAAAACCUCUUAUUUUUUUAAACAGAUGAGCCUCUCUUUGUCUUGGGCUGUGUGUCUGCCCAAAAGUGGGGCCAAGGCUGCUCUCACUCCUGUUUUCCCAGGAGCAAAGGGCCAGGUGAGGGAUGGCCGGUACCAUCCCUGCUAACAGAGCUGCAAAUCCAACCCUCCGGCACUCAGGGCAGUGGAGGCAGGAUGGGCAGGGUUGGGAACAGCAUCUCUUUGGCCACAUGCAUCUCUUCAGCUGCACAGACCACCGAAGACAAAUGAACUGGAGGAAGCAUUUCCUCUGCCGAAGGCUGACACCCGGGAGGUUUCUGUUCACAGUGUAGGUCAAGAGUUGAAAAAUGAAGAAGAAAGGAAAACAGAUAGAAAGAUCCAUCUUCCCUUAUAAAAUCCCCAGAGCAGGGGGCAUUUGGAAGUCAUUUUUCAUUGAGCUGAGAGCUGUUUCUGGCCCUUUAGCAGACAUUAUUCUCUUCUCAAACCUCAUAGUUUGGGACACGGGGAAGCACUUGCCCUCCAUCCUCGUGGGUGUUGGAAGAGGAGCAUUAUCCUGGGUGCAAGACACCUGGUACCUUCCUCUGAGGCUGGGCUCCACGGUGAUUUGGGCUUUGGGGCAAGGCGGAGCCCAAUGCAUGCUGAAAAUCGCUCUGUUCCUCCCCCUAAUGCAUUUCAAAUGCAUUAGGGCUGAGAUGCAAAAAGAAAUGGGUGGCUUGGAUUUGCUGGCAUUAAUGCACAGGUUAAGAGGGACAGCUUUUAAGGGGGAAAACCCAUGCAAGAAGACGAAGGAGAACUUCAGCAUGGUUAAAGGAAAUCUAAAUAAAAUGCCUUUCUGGAAGGAAUUCAAGAAAAUUA